CUGGAAUGGAUCAUGGCUCAAAUCUACAUGGCCCCUGGAUUGGACUGCGGCCGAUCAGGCAGUUGGUGAGGUAAAGGCCCACCAAACCUAUAACCGGUACGGGCUCUGAGAGGAGAAGCCCGGAGAUGGGCACUGAGACAAGGGCCCAGGCCCUAUGGGGCGCAGCAGGCGCGAAACCUCCGCAAUAGGCGAAAGCCUGACAGGGUUACUCUGAGUGAUUUCCGCUAAGGGGAUCUUUUGGCACCUCUAAAAAUGGUGCAGAAUAAGGGGUGGGCAAGUCUGGUGUCAGCCGCCGCGGUAAUACCAGCACCCCGAGUGGUCGGGACGAUUAUUGGGCCUAAAGCAUCCGUAGCCGGUUCUGCAAGUCUUCCGUUAAAUCCAGCCGCUCAACGGAUGGGCCGCGGAGGAUACUACAGGACUAGGAGGCGGGAGAGGCAAGCGGUACUCAGUGGGUAGGGGUAAAAUCCUUUGAUCCAUUGAAGACCACCAGUGGCGAAGGCGGCUUGCCAGAACGCGCUCGACGGUGAGGGAUGAAAGCCGGGGGAGCAAACCGGAUUAGAUACCCGGGUAGUCCCAGCUGUAAACGAUGCAGACUCGGUGAUGGGCUAGCCUUGUGCCAGCCCAGUGCCGCAGGGAAGCCGUUAAGUCUGCCGCCUGGGGAGUACGGUCGCAAGACUGAAACUUAAAGGAAUUGGCAGGGGAGCACCACAAGGGGUGAAGCCUGCGGUUCAAUUGGACUCAACGCCGGU
rnacentral:rRNA from 1 species